GCCACAGGGUCUUCUAAGCCCUGGUGAAUGCUGUAAAGCAAAUACAUCUCAUUUAUCUCUUUGCAUAUUCCACAAAUUUUACCAUAUAACCUAUAUGUAGGAACUCUCAUUCCAUACUUAUCUUUAGUCUGUGUAUAGAGACAGAAUAUUGACCGAGAAUAGAAAAAUAAGGCUGGUUAGAUUACCUUUGUCAAGCUUAUGCUACACCCUAAUGGGGUUCAGGACACACUAUCCCAAAAUGUAGCUAGACAAUGAGUUCUCUGAGAGCAGGAUCCACCUAUUUGGUUGUAAUAGUUUUGUUUCUAUAAAUGUUGAAUGAGUGGAUCGAUUUAUCAAAAUAGAGUUUAUGAACAUAAAAAAUUGCCUUAUGCAACCAAGUUUGAUAAUAACAACAUGACCUUGAUAUUAAACUGAAAAAAGGCAUCUUCCAGUCUCUACUAUUACCACCUCUCCCCAACUAUUAUAGCCAUUCAAAUCUCUAACCAGGCUGAAUAUUAAAUAAAAUGGUUUACCAUCUGAUGUUAAGGUAUAAAGAUAAGAUUUUUUUUUUUCUGAAUUAAAAAAAAUAGUCCAAAGAAGAAGGAAGAAGAAAGGGGAUAUAAUGAGAAUGAGAAGCGUCAGAUAAUUAGGCAGCAGUCCAACAAUUAGGUUUUGUGGAACUUUUACUAUGUCAUCUAUUUAUUGGAAUUCCCCCUGGAUACCAGGACCCCCUCCAGCAGAGCUUAAAGUUAUAGUUACAGGAAGUACAAAUUCCUUAUGUGGAUCCCUGGAAGUGUGAUGAGAAGAACCACUGUUUCCAAGAUCUAUUUAUUCUAUUUAUCAGGCCUAUAAAAUCAUGUAAUGGCCAUGGCUUCAACUAG
rnacentral:lncRNA from 10 species